rnacentral:rRNA from 1 species
UGAAUACGAGGCACUAAGGUGCUGAAGUAGUGUAUGUCAUACUUCCAAGAAAAGCUUGCACUAUCGUAAGAUAAAAAUGCCUGUACCAUAACCGACACAGGUGGGUAGGUAGAGUAUACUAAGGGGCGCGAGAUAACUCUCUCUAAGGAACUCGGCAAAAUAACUCCGUAACUUCGGGAGAAGGAGUGCCUUAUUCUAUAAGGUUGCAAUAACAAGAUCCAAGCAACUGUUUAUCAAAAACACAGGUCUCCGCUAAGUCGUAAGACGAUGUAUGGGGGCUGACGCCUGCCCAGUGCCAGAAGGUUAAAGAAGUCGGUUAGCAAUUGCGAAGCUGGUAACUGAAGCCCUGGUGAACGGCGGCCGUAACGAUAACGGUCCUAAGGUAGCGAAAUUCCUUGUCGGGUAAGUUCCGACCCGCACGAAAGGCGUAAUGAUUUGGAUACUGUCUCGGAGAGGGACUCGGUGAAAUAGACUUGUCUGUGAAGAUGCGGACUACCUGCACCAGGACAGAAAGACCCUAUGAAGCUUUACUGUAACUUGAAAUUGAAAUUGGACUUUAUUCGCGCAGUAUAGGUGGGAGGCGUUGAUUAUAAUCUUGUGGGAUUAUUGGAGCCAUUAGUGAGAUACCACUCUUGUAAUGUUAGAUUUCUAACUUUGAAUCAUGAUCUGGUCAAAGAACAGUUUCAGGCGGGCAGUUUGACUGGGGCGGUCGCCUCCUAAAUGGUAACGGAGGCGUACAAAGGUUUCCUCUGAACGGGUAGAAAUCGUAUCUAGAGUGUAAAGGCAUAAGGAAGCUUGACUGUGAGACCUACAAGUCGAGCAGGGACGAAAGUCGGUCUUAGUGAUCUGACGGUACUGAGUGGAAAGGCCGUCACUCAACGGAUAAAAGUUACUCUAAGGAUAACAGGCUGAUCUCCCCCAAGAGUUCACAUCGACGGGGAGGUUUGGCACCUCGAUGUCGGCUCAUCGCAUCCUGGGGCGGUAGUACGUCCCAAGGGUUGGGCUGUUCGCCCAUGAAAGCGGUACGCGAGCUGGGUUCAGAACGUCGUGAGACAGUUCGGUCCAUAUCCGGUGUAGGCGUUAGAAUAUUGAGAGGAGCCUUCUUUAGUACGAGAGGACCGAGAAGGACAUACCUCUGGUGUACCAGUUAUCGUGCCAACGGUAAACGCUGGGUAGCUAUGUAUGGAGUGGAUAACCGCUGAAAGCAUCAAAGUGGGAAGCCCACCUCAAGAUAAG